AGCCGCGGCAAGGGGGUGGGGGGGGCAACAGUUACGGCUGAAGUCAAAAGAAAACAUCAUAUUUUCAUAUCUAGCAUCAGAAUGACGGCAGUCCUAGGUCGGGGUUGGCUGGAGGGUGAAGGAGACUGAAGGGCGGGACAGAGGCUCGAGGGAGUAUAAAGCGAGCGAUACGCUGGCUUGGAAAUCAGUGUGCUCCUUCUGCUGCUGCUGUUACUUCGGUGCUGACAACAGUGACGACGAUGCGUGUCCUGGCCGUGCUGUGUGUGCUGGUGCUGAUGGCCGUCGCCGUGCUGGCUGGUGGCGGAUACGGUGGCUUUGGCGGCGGCGGAGGAUUCAGGGGCGGGUCAGGCGGCGGCGGCCGAGGCUUCGGAGGCGGCGGCCGAGGCUUAGGCGGCGGCCGAGGCUUCGGCGGCGGCCGAGGCUUCGGCGGCGGCGGCUUUGGCGGUAAGGGCUUCGGCGGCGGCGGAUUCAGCAGCUUGGGAGGCAGCAAGGGCUUCGGCGGCGGUGGCUCCAGCGGCGGUGGAUUCGGUGGCUCCGGUGGAUUCGGUGGCUCCGGUGGAUUCGAUGAUGGCGGAUUCGGUGGUGGCGGAUCCGGUGGUGGCGGAUUCGGUGGCAAGGGCGGCUACUACGGCUGAGGCGACACACCCGUCACGCCCACGGCCCAGCGCUGCCCUGCUGGUGACGACGGAGGCGGAGGCGGCGGCAAAGUAAAUGUAUAUGGAAUUGAAUUAGACGAGGAAUAAAACCACCUAAAUUUGUGUCGCUUUUGCAUUUUUUGGUCCCUUUUGGCAGCGCGGGAAGGAAUGAUUGGUUGACUGGGAUAUAUAUGCAUGGCGCCGCAUUUACAAUGGUCAUAUGGCGCCGAGCAUAAUACCAGAGGUAAAGUCAUAAAUAUAUAAAAAAAAAAGUCAAAAAAGGAUGAUAAAAUUUCGAAAAACCGCAUAUUGUGGGGAGGAGGGUGUGAAGGUGUUCCUUAAGGCUCUACACUACUCCUCAGCACUUAUCUUAGCCAGUAAUAAAAAAGCAGCACCCUCAGCAUCCUCCCAGCAUCAGCAUCACCCGAAAAAACGAGGAAAUCUAAAAAUAUAAGGAAAAAUAAAAACAUCACUAUCA